AGCCAAGGCAACUUGUGCCUGAAGAAUCUGCCAGCCUGUUUAUCACUCAGGAUGCAGAAUCAGAUGGACCCACUGGAGACCAGACUUCUGAUGUGAGAUGAACUGAACCAUUGGUAAAUGGGAGGAAGAGCCAGUUUGAGUAGCCCUGCAAGGGCUGCUGUGCAAUAAGAAUAGAGGACUCAGGAGCACCAUCAUGGAUGAAAUACCCUGGCAGGGGAGCUAUGUCCCAGGAAGAAUGAGAGAAAAGAGACAAUGCA